rnacentral:rRNA from 1 species
AUUGAACGCUGGCGGCAUGCCUUACACAUGCAAGUCGAACGGCAGCACGGGUGCUUGCACCUGGUGGCGAGUGGCGAAUGGGUGAGUAAUACAUCGGAACAUGUCCUGUAGUGGGGGAUAGCCCGGCGAAAGCCGGAUUAAUACCGCAUACGAUCCACGGAUGAAAGCGGGGGACCUUCGGGCCUCGCGCUAUAGGGUUGGCCGAUGGCUGAUUAGCUAGUUGGUGGGGUAAAGGCCUACCAAGGCGACGAUCAGUAGCUGGUCUGAGAGGACGACCAGCCACACUGGGACUGAGACACGGCCCAGACUCCUACGGGAGGCAGCAGUGGGGAAUUUUGGACAAUGGGCGAAAGCCUGAUCCAGCAAUGCCGCGUGUGUGAAGAAGGCCUUCGGGUUGUAAAGCACUUUUGUCCGGAAAGAAAUCCUUGACUCUAAUACAGUCGGGGGAUGACGGUACCGGAAGAAUAAGCACCGGCUAACUACGUG